AUGAUAUCGAGGCAAAACUUGUGAAAAUGUGUGACGCAAAACUAUAGGAACCGUUAAAUGUCAGCCAGUUGCAGUA
rnacentral:ncRNA from 1 species